rnacentral:rRNA from 1 species
UUCCGGUUGAUCCUGCCGGACCUGACUGCUAUCGGAUUGAUACUAAGCCAUGCGAGUCAUUGUAGCAAUACAAGGCAGACGGCUCAGUAACGCGUAGUCAACCUACCCUAUGGACGGGAAUAACCUCGGGAAACUGAGUAUAAUGCCCGAUAGAACACUAUACCUGGAAUGGUUUGUGUUUCAAAUGAUUUAUUGCCGUAGGAUGGGACUGCGGCCUAUCAGUUUGUUGGUGAGGUAAUGGCGCACCAAGACUAUUACAGGUACGGGCUCUGAGAGGAGUGGCCCGGAGAUGGGUACUGAGACACGGACCCAGGCCCUAUGGGGCGCAGCAGGCGAGAAAACUUUGCAAUGUGCGAAAGCACGACAAGGUUAAUCCGAGUGGUUUCUGCUAAAGGAACCUUUUGACAGUCCUAGAAACACUGUUGAAUAAGGGGUGGGCAAGUUCUGGUGUCAGCCGCCGCGGUAAAACCAGCACCUCAAGUGGUCAGGAUGAUUAUUGGGCCUAAAGCAUCCGUAGCCGGCUCAGUAAGUUUUCGGUUAAAUCUGUACGCUCAACGUACAGGCUGCCGGGAAUACUGCAGAGCUAGGGAGUGGGAGAGGUAGACGGUACUCGGGAGGAAGUGGUAAAAUGCUUUGAUCUUUCGAUGACCACCUGUGGCGAAGGCGGUCUACCAGAACACGUCCGACGGUGAGGGAUGAAAGCUGGGGGAGCAAACCGGAUUAGAUACCCGGGUAGUCCCAGCUGUAAACUAUGCAAACUCAGUGAUGCAUUGGCUUGUGGCCAAUGCAGUGUUGCAGGGAAGCCGUUAAGUUUGCCGCCUGGGAAGUACGUACGCAAGUAUGAAACUUAAAGGAAUUGGCGGGGGAGCACCACAAGGGGUGAAGCCUGCGGUUCAAUUGGAUUCAACGCCGGA